GAUCGAAUCCUGUGCAGGAACAAAGGGGGCAGAUUGAGCCACGGACUUGAUGAGCCAGUUCUGCAUGACUGUAUUAUCCCAAGAGACUUCAGCCCUCUAUCUCUCGCGCACAGAAGAGUUCUGUGCGCACUAAGGUUCAACUGCAAGAAUAAUUAUGAACACAAAAGUACUAUUCCGAGGCAGAGACCACCGCCAUUCCUUGAACCUCACGGUAACUAUGUGCCAAGGAGACUCAGACCCUGCCCUGGAGUGACGGUUGAAGUUCAGCUGGAGGGUGCAGUGAUGAACAACCCCAUGACCCAGACAGAUGGGGACCAAGCCCCUCACUCACGCGUGUUCCUGGCCGCCGUGCUCCAGGCGGUAGCGCACGAGUCCCAGGAGGCGGCUCUGCCGGCUGUCCCCCUCACACAGCACACCUUGCACCGCCUGCGGCUCAGAGUCAAGGGAAGACAACCCAGAGGCGAGGCCGCUCCCCACUCAGGCUGUCCCACCUUCCUCCGUUCCCCUGUCCCCCAGAUUCACUGUGUGGCCUUGGGCCAGUCACUCUCUAAGCCUUCCUCAUCGAUGAAAUGAGGAUAAUAAUCCUCAUUUCAUAGGGAGUUAGGAGGAUGACUGCAAAUUUAAAGCAUCUGGCGGAGAGUCCAGGACUCAGUGGAGAAACUGAGCCUUGGAGAGGGUAAGCAGUUUGACAUUAAGUCCUGCAGCUAGCAGGUGGCAACACUGGGACUCCACUGAAAGUCUGACUGCAACUCCUGGGCCAUUUGUACCGCCACACACUGCCCUAUUUCUUCCCUCAGCCCCACUCAGCCCUCCUGCCACACAGUGCUGUUUGAGGCUACUGGGUGUGAACGCACUUUAUAAAGGGUAUGACACUGUUCCUGUCUGGCAAUGUCCUUUCCCUGAUCCACCUGGCUGUGUGACCUUGGCCAAGACCUUUCUUCCCUUGGGAUUCAAUUUCCCCAUCUAAGAUAAGAGGUUACCCCAGAUGGACAAAAAGAGC